GAUGAACGCUGGCGGCGUGCUUAACACAUGCAAGUCGAACGGUGAAGGCGGAGCUUGCUCUGCUGGAUCAGUGGCGAACGGGUGAGUAACACGUGAGCAAUCUGCCCCUGACUCUGGGAUAAGCGCUGGAAACGGCGUCUAAUACUGGAUACGAGCUGCGAAGGCAUCUUCAGCAGCUGGAAAGAAUUUCGGUCAGGGAUGAGCUCGCGGCCUAUCAGCUUGUUGGUGAGGUAAUGGCUCCCCAAGGCGGCGACGGGUAGCCGGCCUGAGAGGGUGACCGGCCACACGGGGACUGAGACACGGCGCAGACUCCUACGGGAGGCAGCAGUGGGGAAUAUUGCACAAUGGGCGAAAGCGUGAUGCAGCAACGCCGCGUGAGGGACGACGGCCCUCGGGUUGUAAACCUCUUUUAGCAGGGAAGAAGCGAAAGUGACGGUACCUGCAGAAAAAGCGCCGGCUAACUACGUG
rnacentral:rRNA from 1 species